rnacentral:rRNA from 1 species
UGAAACAAGGGAAAACAUUGGCAGCAGUAAAGAAUUUUAUGCAAUAUACGAAAGUAAGACAUAGGCAGAACCUUUUAACCUGUCAAAUUAAGUGCCAGCAGACGCGGUGAAACUUAAGGGUUUGUUUUUUAGAAAAAGCAGAAAGCGUGUAAAGGUAAAACAUUUAAAAUAAAUAGAAUUUUUUUAGUAAUAGUGCAAUAUUAAAAGAAAAAAAAGAAUUUUUUAUGUGAAGACAAUUUAUUUUUUUUCUUUAACACGAAGGUUCUGGGAGCAAACAGGAUUAGAGACCCUGGUAGUCGAUACAGUAAAAGAAAGUCGCUUGAGUAGUACGGUCGCAAGAUUAAAAUUCAAAAAACUUGGCUGUUCAUUGUUAUUUAGAGGAGCGUGUUGCUUAAUUCGAUAAUCCGCGAGUUACCUUACCAAAACUAGCUUUUUCAGGUGUUGCAUGGCCGUCGUCAAUUUAUGUUUGAUACAAUAGAUUAAACCCUAGAAGGGUUGAAGUCAGGUAUUAUUGCCUUUAUGUUUUGGGGUUAAAUGCGCUACAUUUUUUUUUUAAUAAAAAAAAAGAGUUCGGAUUGUCUUUAAAAGAGGAUGAUGAAGUUGGAUUUAAUAGUAAUUGAAAAGUAGAGCGUUUCAAUGAAUUUGCCGCAAUGUUAGUACAAAUUGCCCGUCGCCUCUGCUGAGGGAAACAAAGUAGAGUAAGUCGUAACAUAGU